rnacentral:rRNA from 1 species
CUACUAGAGUAGCACUCGCAUAUCAAUAAGCGGAGGAAAAGAAACUAACAAGGAUUCCCCUAGUAACGGCGAGUGAAGCGGGAAGAGCUCAAAUUUGAAAUCUUAAAGGGUUUCCCUUUACGAAUUGUAGUUUAAAGAAGUGUUUUCUGUUGAGGUUUUGGUAAAAGUUCUUUGGAAUAGGACAUCAUAGAGGGUGAGAAUCCCGUAUUUGACCUUUACUUUCAACUUUGUGAUACACUUUCAAAGAGUCGGAUUGUUUGGGAAUGCAGUCCAAAAUGGGUGGUAAAUUUCAUCUAAAGCUAAAUAUUGGCGAGAGACCGAUAGCGAACAAGUACCGUGAGGGAAAGAUGAAAAGAACUUUGAAAAGAGAGUUAAACAGUACGUGAAAUUGCUCAAAAGGGAAGCGUUUGACACCAGUGUUGUUUUUCUGAAAAUCAAUUAAAGAACUGUUUAUGCUAAGCUGUUUAGACUUUAUCAGCUAUCUGUUUAGUUUUAGGCUUUUCUUUAAUGCACUUUUCAGUUAACAAGUACAACAUCAAUUUCUUUUGCUGUAAAAAAGCUUGAGGAAGGUGGCUUGAGAUUCGUCUUAAGUGUUUAUAGCCUCUUGCCUAUGCAGUCGGAGAGAUUGAGGUCUGCAGCGUAGAUCCUUCGGGGCUAAAUGCAUUUGUGCUAAGUUAUAGCAUUUUAUAGACAACUUGUUGACUAUGAUUUGUCUUGUAGCUUACUCGCUUAUGUUAUUUUACCUACGCUUAGGAUGUUGAGCGCAUGUCUCUCUCU